rnacentral:rRNA from 1 species
AGAGUUUGAUACUGGCUCAGAUUGAACGCUGGCGGCAGGCCUAACACAUGCAAGUCGAGCGGUUGAGGUAGCUUGCUACCGAUGCAGCGGCGGACGGGUGAGUAAUACAUGGGAAUCUGCCUGGUAGUGGGGGACAACGUUUCGAAAGGAACGCUAAUACCGCAUACGCCCUACGGGGGAAAGGGGGGGAUCUUCGGACCUCUCGCUAUCAGAUGAGCCCAUGUCGGAUUAGCUUGUUGGUGAGGUAAAGGCUCACCAAGGCGACGAUCCGUAACUGGUCUGAGAGGAUGAUCAGUCACACUGGAACUGAGACACGGUCCAGACUCCUACGGGAGGCAGCAGUGGGGAAUAUUGGACAAUGGGCGCAAGCCUGAUCCAGCCAUGCCGCGUGUGUGAAGAAGGCCUUAGGGUUGUAAAGCACUUUCAGUGGGGAGAAAGGUCAUUCACCUAAUACGUGAGUGAAUUGAUGUUACCCACAGAAGAAGCACCGGCUAACUCCGUGCCAGCAGCCGCGGUAAUACGGAGGGUGCAAGCGUUAAUCGGAAUUACUGGGCGUAAAGCGUACGUAGGUGGUUUGUUAAGCCAGCUGUGAAAUCCCCGGGCUCAACCUGGGCACUGCGGUUGGAACUGGCAAGCUAGAGUAGGGUAAAGGGGUGUGGAAUUCCAGGUGUAGCGGUGAAAUGCGUAGAUAUCUGGAGGAACAUCAGUGGCCAAGGCGACACCCUGGACUCAUACUGACACUGAGGUACGAAAGCGUGGGGAGCAACAGGAUUAGAUACCCUGGUAGUCCACGCCGUAAACGAUGUCUACUAGCCGUUGGGAGCCUUGAGCUCUUAGUGGCGCAGCUAACGCACUAAGUAGACCGCCUGGGGAGUACGGUCGCAANAUUAAAACUCAAAUGAAUUGACGGGGGCCCGCACAAGCGGUGGAGCAUGUGGUUUAAUUUGACUCAACGCGAAGAACCUUACCAGGUCUUGACAUCCAGAGAACUUUCCACAGAUGGAUUGGUGCCUUCGGGAGCUCUGAGACAGGUGCUGCAUGGCUGUCCUCAGCUCGAGUCGUGAGAUGUUGGGUUAA